GAUAAACGCUAGCGGCAGGCUUAACACAUACAAGUCGAGGGGCAGCAUAGAUUGUAGCAAUACAAUUGGUGGCGACCGGCGCACGGGUGCGUAACGCGUAUGCAACCUGCCCGUCACAGGGGGAUAAUCCGGAGAAAUCUGGUCUAAUACCCCAUAACAUAUGGAUCGGCAUCGGUUCAUGUUGAAAUUUUCGGAGGUGACGGAUGGGCAUGCGUAGCAUUAGCUUGUUGGUGAGGUAACGGCUCACCAAGGCGACGAUGCUUAGGGGGACUGAGAGGUUUUCCCCCCACACUGGUACUGAGACACGGACCAGACUCCUACGGGAGGCAGCAGUGAGGAAUAUUGGUCAAUGGGCGCAAGCCUGAACCAGCCAUGCCGCGUGCAGGAUGACGGCUCUAUGAGUUGUAAACUGCUUUUGUACGAGGGUAAAGUGGGUUACGUGUAACCUUUUGAAGGUAUCGUACGAAUAAGGAUCGGCUAACUCCGUGCCAGCCGCCGCCGUAA
rnacentral:rRNA from 1 species